GGUUAAUAUGUUGAUAUGCCUAGGCUGUUUUGCAGGCGCCAGGCAGGCCGCCUUUGGAAUUGGAUGAGCAUUUGAGGUGCCACAAGCGAUGACGGCCGCAGCGUCCGACACCAGAAUCAGUGCGGAGCAGGUGAUGAAGAGGAACUUGCCGACUGCAGGAAUGUCCUGGUUUGCUGAUGCAGCUUCUCUUGAGGAUGGAUUCAGACCCCUGGCCCUCUGAAAGCUGAAGGACCACUGCACUACAGUGUGUAAUUUUGACUUCGGUUGGAAAGAAACGUUCCAAAGCGGGAAUCUUCCUCGUUCAAAGAAGUUGCAUUUUAGGAACUUCCUAUCAGAGUGAAUCUUCAGAGAUGUCGUGUUGCAAGUGUCUUGUGAUGCUCAGCAGAUCCCCCCCAGCCCAGCUUUGCCGGCCGGUCGUUAAGCGUACUGAUGAGGCUGUGCUGAAGACGCAGUUGUCCGUUCCUCCCCUGGGGAUGCCAUGGACUGCACCUGCCUCAGGCUUGCGUGGGUUGUCUCUGCCUGGCCUUGCUCCGCUCGUGGCGUGGGGGCGAAAAGGGACAGGCAGAACACGUACUGGCUGCAGACAGGAGCUGCCGUGGCUGAAGCUGCGGAGGCCAGAGAAAGAGGCAGCGCUGAGGCCUCAGUUGUGGGUUCCUCUGCGGGGACGUUGUGGACUGCAUCUGGCUCAGGUUUGGGUGGGUUGCCUUUGGCCUCGUUCUCCGAGCGGCAUGGGCGACAAGGGACAGCUGGAGCGCUUACUGGCUGUGGGCAGGAGCUGCCGCGGCUGAAGCUGGAUGGGCCAGAAAAAGGUAAAGCAGCUGAAGAAUAAAAUAAGGGGGAUCCUCCAGCUGCAGACAGGGGACAGCCUGCCUCGCUGGGUGAGGAAGGAUCCCUCUUAGUGUAGUCCUCAGCAGAUCCCAUCACCAGUGUGCACCGCAGGGUCUGUGUGCGUAACCAAAAGCACAGUGCAGCUGUGCAGUGUGAGCGCGU